CCCCAUGGGCACACAGGUAGAGAACACCAUCAGGUUGCACAGAGAGCAUAACCUUUACAGCAAAGAGCUUUCAAAGGAUUUCCAUCUACUGCUACUAAUGCUAUUUCACAACUUUUGGAAGAGAAGAAAUUGCAUCAUAUGGGAUCUGGAAAAAGCUAAUUCCAGCUGAAAUGCAUUUGGCACAACAUUGAAUGACUUAGCUGGAGAAUACAUGGAAGGCUCUGGGGUCAUGUCUGCAAGGAGUGGCACCUAACUCUAGUCCUCGUCUCAAAAUACAGCAUAAAGCCUAACUAGAACUGGCCCACAAUCAGAAUAUGUCCUCCACAGAAGUAUUCAGGAUAUUGAAAAAGAAAGCCUUUUGAGAUAAUCUUGGGCCUGUACAGCAAGCUAAUCACCAGCCUCAUCAGCCUAAGUAUUGAAACCAGUAGUACAG
ensembl:lncRNA